rnacentral:rRNA from 1 species
AUACGUAGGGAGCGAGCGUUGUCCGGAAUUACUGGGCGUAAAGGGCGCGUAGGCGGCGCUUCAAGUCGUCUGUCAAAUGGGAGGGCUUAACCCUUUUUCGCAGACGAAACUGGAGAGCUUGAGAAGCAGAGAGGCAAACAGAAUUCCUGGUGUAGCGGUGAAAUGCGUAGAUAUCAGGAAGAAUACCAGUGGCGAAGGCGGUUUGCUGGCUGCAUACUGACGCUGAAGCGCGAAAGCCAGGGGAGCGAACGGGAUUAGAUACCCCUGUAGUCCUGGCAGUAAACGAUGUAUGCUGGGUGUGAGACUAGCGAUAGUUUCGUGCCGAAGUUAACGCGAUAAGCAUACCGCCUGGGGAGUACGGUCGCAAGAUUGAAACUCAAAGGAAUUGACGGGG